GAUCAGCCACCUCAUACCCUGGCCUCAAAGUGCCUUCCCCACCACACUAAACUGUAUCCCCGCACACUGCAGGCCCAAAUGAGCUAACUCUCCCUGCUUUACCUUUCUAUUAACGUAGUUAACUGCUUGUCAAGCACUUGAUCACAGCAAUACAAAAGGUAAUGAUACACCAUAGUUCUGAGAAGAUUAAUGCCAGUGUAAAGCUACAAAUGCUAUAAAAGAGUUAAAUGGGGAAGCGAACUGGGACUUAAUUUCAACUCUGAUGAAGCAAGCAUCUUUUGAGAUUCCACUCUGCACUGGAAUGGGCUGGCUGGGGGAUCUUCUAAAGCUACCCAGGAUUUCAUCAUGUCAUCGAGAGGUGCCAAGGGGGCACCCUGGGGCACAGGGAGCCAUGGAAGCAGAGGCAGAGGGUGUCACAGGGCAGAACGUGAAGGAUGCUGAUGAUUCCGGAGCUUAAGAAUUCUGGCCCACUAUGAGCAAAGCCAAGGGGAAGGUGGGCACGCUACAGGGAAAGAGGAAGCCACAAAGCGAAAGCCAACAGUUUGCAAACCAGCUGUUCAAAUUCGGAUCCAACAUUGACACUGUUACUUCCGGCUGCAACAGUGAGAUGAUAAAGCCAAGUGUCCUUCAAAAGAGAACAUGUUAACGCAAGUGUUAGCCAAGACGCCCUUUUGACUUUAUCGCAAGGAACGACUUGCAAAAACAGUAAACAAAAUAAUAACAACAACAAAAACUUGAGACAGAGAAGAAACCACUUUCUUUAA